rnacentral:rRNA from 1 species
CCUACGGGAGGCUGCAGUAAGGAAUAUUGCUCAAUGGCCGAAAGGCUGAAGCAGCAACGCCGCGUGGAGGAUGAAAUACUUUUGUAUGUAAACUCCUGUAAGAGGGGAAAAAUAUACAGUUUAUACUGUGUUGAUUGUACCCUCAGAGUAAGCACCGGCUAACUACGUGCCAGCAGCCGCGGUAAUACGUAGGGUGCUAGAGUUGUCCGGAUUUACUGGGUGUAAAGGGUGCUCAGGUGGGUUUGUAAGUCAGAGGUGAAAUCCCAAAGCUUAACUUUGGAGCUGCCUUUGAUACUGCAAGUCUGGAGUUUGAGAGAGGGCAAUGGAAUAUCUGGUGUAGCAGUGAAAUGCGUAGAUAUCAGAUAGAACACCAAUGGCGAAGGCAGUUGCCUGGCUCAAAACUGACGCUAAAGCACGAAAGUGUGGGGAGCAAACAGGAUUAGAUACCCUGGUAGUC